UAUAUUCCGUUCAGUCGUAAAUUGAGAGCGAAGCAUAUCACGUACAAAAAUUAAAAUAAAAUAAAUAAAUACUAAUAAUAAAUAAUAAAUAAAAUACAUUUUUUUUAACAACCAUAAAGUGAACUUACAAGAACAAGCGAAGAUGGGAAACGAAGCAUCAAAAGUUCUAAUUGCAAAUAAAGUUAUAAAAGUUAACGAUAAUGCACCGAAUUCUCACUCUGAUGGAAGUGAAAUAAAUUUACAAGAGGUAAAUCAAACUGUCGCUAAUGAUCUGAAUGUUGAUGCCGCUGAAGCAAGUGAAAUAAAUGUAGAUGCUAAUAGGCAACUCAACAUCAAUACUGCGAUAGAUAUAAUCAAUAGCUUAGAAACGGCAAUGCAAGAUAUAUUAGAUCGUUCGCGUCAAGAUGAAGCCCAAGAAUCAAAUUUAUCGGCAGCAGUCCAAUUUACUACUCGUCAAUACCGCGAUGUUGGCACACAAACAGAGAUAAUUAGAACCUCUUGUAAGCGUGCUAAACGUUCCAUUCCUGAUGGUGCCGAUGCAAAGCGUCCAAGGCGUUUUAAGUGAAUUUUUCAUUUUGUUGAAAACUAAAGACACAGUUAAUUUCAUAUUUAAAAUUAAUUUCAAAAAACGUUUUUAGCUAUUCAGCUUAUCAUUCAAAUGGAUAAAAAUAAAAUAAUUAGCAGUUUGAACAGAAAAUUGUAUUAAAGAGAAAAUUGCACAGUUGAUGUCCAUCUUUUAUUUAUUUAUUUAAUAAAAACACAGAUCAAAAAAAAAUAUUAUAAGCGUUUACGUAUGUUUAGGAUGUCAAGCAAUCACUUCUUAUUUUAAUCUUAACAAUUAGGAUCAAAAGUAAGUCUAAUAUCAAAUUAAGCGCAAUCUUUAAGGAACUUUAAGGCAAUUGUUAAUUAAAAAGAUGUCCGACUCAAAAAUCAAAAAUAAUACAAAAUCAUAAAAUCAAAUAAGCUCCAAACAAUCUUAGAGGAUUCAAUAACGAGAAUAAAUCAAAUAAAAAUUUAUUUAUUUUUUAAAGGGUUCUAAAGCACAUUUCGUUAAUUUCAACUUGAAAUGUUAAUUCUGAAAUGAAAUAAAAUUUUAAAGCAAAAAGCAAAA